rnacentral:tRNA from 1 species
GCAGUGGUGGUUCGACGGUAGAAUUCUUGCCUUGCACGUGGGAGACCCGGGUUCGAUUCCCAGCCCUUCCU